AACCACCAGAGAAGAGGGCCCAAUUUCACAAAGCAGGCUUACUGAGUUAGCUGGAUAACUGCGCUGUGCAAAACCCGGAACCCUCUCAGAUCGGGAACAUGGACUGUAAGUAAGAAGAGCUUUUCCGUGUUGUGCUCGGCGCAGUUAUCCAGCUAACUGGGUAAUCCUGCUUUGUGAAACACUCCCCGGUAGUCUGUUUCCUCUGCGAGUGAGAGUGCACGCGCAGGGUGCUGAAGCUGAGAUACGAUAGGCUUGGCUGUGAUACAGAGCCGCUAAUGGAUGCUCCUCGCUCAGCUGUGGCCAAUCGGGUUAGGGAGGGAGGAAGCACGCGCGCUUCCUCCUGUCUCGCGGAGGACGAGCAGACUGUUAAUGCUCUCCUGUCGGUUGCAGGGAACACAAACGUUCAGGGGGGAGGUUGGGUGGUGACGUGGCAAAUAAGAUGAGAAAUUGUUUGUUUUUCUAUCAAAGGUUCACAACUGAAAAAAGAAACGGCCAAGUUCCAACAAACGCGAUUUCGUAUAGGCUAUGUAUGAUUUGAUUUGUUUCAGUAUAUGCAUGGCCUGUAUGGGCUUUCAGCGUUUAUGGCUGAAUUAGUAUUUGAAUGAUAGCAGUUGUCUGAAUUCACUGUGUUGGGUUACUACCACAAAUAGUCUAUAUCACCUCGUUUAAAUAAGCAGCCUACAUGAACUUGAUUUUUUGUAAUAUUAGGAAUUUAUCAGUCUUUAGUCGUGAAGCUUAUGUCACGGCUAAAAAAACGUGAUUUAGGAGUAUUGCAGUUCCAUGCAUUAGCCUGUAUGAAACAUUAUUUGUUUCAGGAGGUACCGCAUAAGCAUGUCAAUCAAGGAAACAAGGCACCCUACCCAAUAUUUGCACUUAAACUGUGUUAAAGAAUUUUAAAGCCGUUAAAGUGUUUUUUUACUUGACUUGUCUCCUUUCAAAAAAAUUUAACUUUUUAUCUGUUUUUAGGGACCUUGCUUGCCUAUGACUGGAUUGUUUACAUGUUCGUUAUGAAAUGGGACGCCGCAGGGCCGAGCAUUUCUCAGGGACAAUAUUUUGCGCCUGCUGUUCGGUAAUAAAUUCGGUCUCUUUCACAAACACUAAAGGACAGAGUAUUGCCCCAAAGCGACCUCAUUCACCAACGUAAAAAUCCCCUUCAGGAGAAUGUGUUGUAUUUUUAUAUUUUGGACAAGCGUAGCUGUUAAAGAUAAUGUUUGACUUUUGUCCAUUAUUCACUCGGCAAACAACGCCUCAUUCAGAAUGAGAAAAAAAGUUCGUGUGAAUUACGGGUCCAACUUAAAGACACGCCUCGCCCCGACUGGAGCAUAUACACCCAAGCUAAGAAAACACAUACGAAAGAUUUAAGACGGACGUGUCAGUGGAAUAUUUGCAUCUCUGCGGUGGAGCCGUGGAGCCGGUGUUUGUGCAGACUCGCGGGCAUCGCCGCCCAAACACAGCCAGCGGGCGGCCAGUGGGCGGCCGCCGAGAAUGCUGGCGCGCAAACAGCGGCUGGGGCGAGUCGCCGCGGUUUGUUCCGGAAUUCUCCCACAGUGUCACCUCCAGCUCGGGCCAAAGAGCCAAAUUCCUCCCCGCGCUCCUCGUGUUUACCUCGCGGACGGGCACGGACGCGCUGUCCCCUGCUCGCCACCGCUGCUCC